GUCUAUGGCCAUGCCACUCUGAACAAGCUGGAUCCCAUCUGAUCUCGGAAGUUAAGCAGGGUCGAGCCUGGUUAGUACUUGGAUGGGAGACCACCUAGGAAGACCAGGUUCUGUAGGCA
rnacentral:rRNA from 1 species